CUGGAUACGCACACACCAACCCGCAUAGGGAUCGUGAAGUCAGAGAGAUGUCAGAGGCGGCUCGAACGACGCGGCACUACGUGAGUGACUGUCUCGAGGAGCGAUACCCCUAUGAUGCCUGCAAGGGGUUUGCUGGCAUUCGCCAGCGCGAGGCGGGUCGCGUCUUCAACGGGUACGGGCCCGCCGCCGUCGACGACAUGAUGAAUAGCUUGACGGACCCCUCUGUGCCUACCGAAGAGAAGACGAGGGCUGUGCAUCUGCUGUACGCCCGGUCAGCGUCGCAAGAGACGAAGAUCGAGAUGCUGACGAAAGGGCUGGUGCCUCUUCUUGUAGCGACGCUGCAGCAAUGCCCCGAUCUCCUCUUGAAACAUCAGUGCUUGCUGCUGCUGCGCUCUCUCGGGGUCCUCGCGCAGGGCUGCUUUGCGAUCGUUCGGGAGGGCGCCAUCCCGGUGGUUGCCGGCGCGCUGCACACCGUGUUGUCCCCUGCGGGGUCGUCGGAGGCAGCUCAAGCCUGCUGCAUUGCCGCGGCACACGUCCUGUUCCAGGUGAGCAGCAACAUGUCCGGGCUGCGGUGGAUGCUGAGCUUGGCUCACGACUCCGCUUUCGAGGGGAUUGAAGCGGCGUGGGCUGGGGAGCCGCUGGCGCCGAAGGCACUCGUCUCCUUCAUAGCCGACAGCCUUGCGAGCGAAGCAACGCCUGCCAAGGCCACCACCUACCUCAUUCAGACCCUAGCACGCUUGACCAGCCUCGCGCGCGGCGUGGAAGCGUUUCUUGCCGUCUCCGAUGCCGUUGACGUCAUGGUCGAGCAUCUCAGACACCUCCCGAGACCUCCCACGCAGGACAGCGAGCUGUGCGCGGCGACGCUGGAGGUGAUGUGGAACACGACCCUCGGUCACGCCGGCGCAGCAGUCAUGGAGGAGCGCGGCGUGCCCGAUAUUCUUUUUCAACUCCUUGUGGACACCAGCGGGAGCGCCACUCAGGUGCCCGUGUGCGUGCAGCGGCAGUUGACUGGGGCGCUUUCCGCUGUUUCUCAGCUUACCUCCGUCAAGCAACGCAGCACGCACGCCGUGUCGGCAGCGGAGGCUCGCACCCGCAUUGUCGUCUUGCUCGACUACGUCCGCGAGUGGAACAAGCUUAUUGCGAAGCAAUACACCAACGCAUCCAGGCCGAUCCCAAACGACGCUGCUGCGAUCGUGACGAACCUGAUACAGUGCAUCCGCCUCGCAUCGGAGCUAAAGCCGGUGCGGGACGUCACCCACGCCAUUGUGGAGGCCAUGGAACAGGAGGACACCACGGAGGCCUUCUACUUCCGCCGCCAGCUGUACUUCCACACAAGGUGGGAGGCUGAGUACCACGCAAGCGUGGAGGUGUAGGUCGCCCCUUCCCGCACGUUCUUUUCGUUCUCCUCUUUCUCUCACGACGUGUGAGUGUGUGUGUGUGGGGGGGGUGGAGGGGUCAGCGGCCUGUCUUGUCCCUGCUGCUGCUGCUGCUGCUGCUGCAGAGGCGCCGCAUGCUAGCCGUGCGUCGCGAUGUGCGUUGAUGUAGAAGACGAGGCGCCUUUUUGCUUCUCAUUUUUUUUUCUUGCCAAACCAGCGGCGCUUUCUUCUCCCUCUCUCAACUUGUUUGCCGUCAUCCGCGGUGGACCUCUUGUGCCCCUGCCCAGGCGUUUACGAGCCUCUCGCACGCUCUCACCGCACCAGCUGCGUCGGUGCCUUGUCUGCACGACCGUUGUAGGGUCGGUGAACGCAGAGACGGUGCGGCUGCUGGAGCCCGCAAGGGACACCCGAAGGAAGACGGAGGUGAGCGGCAGAGAGUUAUGUAGUGUACAAUGGACAGCAAACGACGAUG
rnacentral:misc_RNA from 1 species